rnacentral:rRNA from 1 species
AUUGAACGCUGGCGGCAUGCUUUACACAUGCAAGUCGAACGGUAACAGGCCGCAAGGUGCUGACGAGUGGCGAACGGGUGAGUAAUGCAUCGGAACGUGCCCAGUCGUGGGGGAUAACGCAGCGAAAGCUGUGCUAAUACCGCAUACGAUCUAUGGAUGAAAGCGGGGGACCGUAAGGCCUCGCGCGAUUGGAGCGGCCGAUGUCAGAUUAGGUAGUUGGUGGGGUAAAGGCUCACCAAGCCAACGAUCUGUAGCUGGUCUGAGAGGACGACCAGCCCCACUGGGACUGAGACGCGGCCCAGACUCCUACGGGAGGCAGCAGUGGGGAAUUUUGGACAAUGGGCGAAAGCCUGAUCCAGCAAUGCCGCGUGCAGGAUGAAGGCCUUCGGGUUGUAAACUGCUUUUGUACGGAACGAAACGGUGAGCUCUAAUACAGUUUGCUAAUGACGGUACCGUAAGAAUAAGCACCGGCUAACUACGUGCCAGCCGCCGCCGUAA